GAGACUCUGUGCGCGUGCAUAUCAAUAAGCGGAGGAAAAGAAACUAACAAGGAUUCCCCUAGUAACGGCGAGUGAAGCGGGAAGAGCUCAAAUUUGAAAUCUUCAAGGUUCUACCUUGACGAAUUGUAGUUUAUAGAAGUGUUUUCUGUUAGUGGAGUGGCAAAAGUUCUUUGGAAUAGGACAUCAUAGAGGGUGAGAAUCCCGUAUUUGGUCAUUCCUCCUAGCGUUGUGAUACACUUUCAACGAGUCGGAUUGUUUGGGAAUGCAGUCCAAAAUGGGUGGUAAAUUUCAUCUAAAGCUAAAUAUUGGCGAGAGACCGAUAGCGAACAAGUACCGUGAGGGAAAGAUGAAAAGAACUUUGAAAAGAGAGUUAAACAGUACGUGAAAUUGUCAAAAGGGAAGCGUUUGACACCAGUGUUGUUUUUCCGAAAAUCAAUUACGAAUGUUUUGUUUUUGAGGAGUUAUGACUUCAUCGGCUUGCUCCUUUCUUUAUGAAACUUUCUUAAUGCACUUUUCGGUUAACAAGUCAACAUCAAUUUCUUUUGUUGUAAAGAGUCAUGAGGAAGGUGGCUUUCUUUUCGGAGAAAGUGUUUAUAGCCUGUGCUUCUGCAAUCGGAGAGAUUGAGGUCUGCAGCGUAGAUCCUUCGGGGUUAGAUACAGUUUGUGCUAAGUUAUAGCCUUUCAUAGACAACUUGUUGACUAUGAUCAGCCAUGUAGCUUACUCGCUUAUGUCAUUUUACCUACGCUUAGGAUGUUGACAGCAGUAUAGACUGU
rnacentral:rRNA from 1 species